CAUGGCCUUUAUAUCCUGGGCUACACACACGCUACAAUGGGCGGUACAAAGGGUAGCGAUGCCGCGAGGUGAAGCCAAUCCCAAAAAGCCGUCCACAGUUCGGAUUGGAGUCUGCAACUCGACUCCAUGAAGCCGGAAUCGCUAGUAAUCGUGGAUCAGCAUGCCACGGUGAAUACGUUCCCGGGCCUU
rnacentral:rRNA from 1 species